UUCAGGCUGAAAGCCUUGCAGCUGUGACCGUGAUAAAACAAUUAACACAAAUUAACAGCACACAUAUUCAACCCAGCUAUUUAGGUCUCCCUUUGGGUAAUUAAUAUAACAGUUAAAAACCACACAUGUAAAAAUAUAAACAACAAUAAAUAGUGUCAUAAAAUACAAUAAAACAGUGAACAACUAUUUAAAAAGUGUGCUUAUUAUAACCAUAAAACCAUGGUGAAAAUAACACUAUUUUAGUCACUUGUGACAGCAAUUUAAGGAAAUUAUUCUAUUUUUCUUUAACAGUUUCCAGGAAGCUGACAUGAUGUAACAUUGGUUGAUACAUUUUAAAGGUUUUCCUGGGAUUCUCUUAAGUCAGGAAUGCUGAGAAGGCUAUGGCCUUCAGAAAGUUAUCUGUCUUCACAGACUGAUAUCCGACUCAACAGCAAUUGUGAUGCGAUUUUUUAUUAAGGGAAUAGAAUGAGAAAGGAUAACAGCUAUCACUUGUCAAAUAUAAAGUAUUGAGGUCAGGCCUGGAGAUGCUCUGUGUGUUAUGUUACCACUUAUGACCAGUCUCAAGAUAUAUUAUAGGGUCAUAGAGUAGAUGAAAAGCUGCAUGCUACAGUACAUGCAGGUGUGGAUUACAGACAACGAAAGCAAAUACAACAUAAAAACAAAUACAUGUGGAAAUUAUAUGCUAAAGUCAAAAUCUAUGGUUCAAUGACCAACACAUUUCGGAUGAAUCCUGAACUGCUAAGCCAAAGGCUUUGGUUGCUGAGAGGACAGAUGAGUCUUUAUUUUAUAUUUCUCAAUGCAGUUAACCAGAUGACAUCCCAUUAACCUUUAUGAAAAGGUUCUGAUGGUGCAGAACCCAUUGCCUUUUUGGUACAUAAUAAACAUAUGGUAGAGCAAAUGCUUGCAUUUUUUUUCUUAGGAAUUAUGUGAUUUUGUAUCUGACAAAACUAAAUUUAUUUUCCUAUUUUCAGAAAUUACUAUAAUAAUCCAUUUAAAGUAAAGGGCCUAAGGGCCUUUAGUUUGUUCUGUAAAGGAGGAGCUAGUGUCAAAUAUUAUAUUCACUCCUACAGAAUAAUAUUGAAUAAUCAAAUAAGGUGUUAGCAUAACGGUAAAGUAUAUUAAAAUGACUGAUUUAUAGGUUGUGAAAUAAAAUCUUAUAAUAAAUGUUAAAAUAUAUGUGAGAGAAAGCUCUGAAUAUCCCCAAAGUUAUUCGAAAUAUUGUAAAUACCAAGUUUCAUCAUAAUUUAAUAAAACGUUUUACAGAUAAAAAAAUGUGUGACAUUCAGAUGUACAGAUAGACAGCUGGAAAAAUGUGGUAUGAUACUAUGAUACCUAAUCUAAUUAUUGGUGAGAUCUGAUUAGAGUGUUUUAAAAAAGCUAUUAUUUUUUAAUUAACUUUAGAAUACUGGCAUAUUAUUGUACAAUCAAAAUUGCAAUGUUCAUCUGCGGGAUCGUGAUGAACUGGUGGGGCAAACUUGAAGUGGACAAACCCAAGAUUAAAACCACCUUUAUAAAAUUCAUCCUAAUAGUAUGUGUUACCAUCAUAUACCAGAUAUCAAAUUUCAAGAUCCUAAAUAGAUAUUCCAUUCCUGAUACAAACUUCUCUUUCAUUGUGAAUGUAAUAAAAGCUAGUCCUGAAAGCAAUUGCAGUGGCUCUGGUGGAUAAUCCAAAUAUCUCUGGCUAGACAAUACAAAGUAAAUGCCUGAAUGCAUUAAAGAGAUCUAAAAAUAUAACAGAAAUUCAGAGUGCUGUAAUAAAAUCAAAUUCCCUGCACUCAGAGGGAGCCUAAAAUGUCAAGCUAAGUGCGUGUAGAGAAGAACCCCUGAAUAUAAUGGUGUGAAGCAGAUUGCUUUUAAAGUGCCACCAAGGCAAAAGGAAUUCAGACUCAACUGAUUUCAACCGUGGGCUAAGAAUGCAGUGGUCGGUGUUUCUGCAGCUUUACGGUUUUUGUUGGCUUUUCAGUUUUCCCUUUCACUCCUCACAGACCAUUUUACAGAAUGCAUUAUCAUGUAUUCUAGGGGCUUAGUAGGUCAACCAUCUCCUCUUUGCAAUACCAAGCAUCCAUAGUUCAUUGUCUUCAGGUGAAGUGAAAACAAGAAAAAAACAAGCCACUCAUUAAUAAGGAAGGAUGUAGAAUAAUCUACAAUGAUACCAAUUUCCAGUGUCUGACAGUGAUCAUGUUUAUGAUAUUGUGGCAAAGUGGUUAACAGUGUGCAGGUGCAGGUGAACAGACAGACAAUUAUAAUCCAGGUGCAAAGUUGUUUAAAGGGUUUGUAUGUCCAGUGCCUGGCAGCAAAAUAAACAGUAAACAGUAAAUGAUGCCAAGUAAUACAGCGGCAUGUAUUAUUUAAAUUGUAAUCUCUGGGUUUGUCCCGAAAUAAUAGUUCUGUUCUUUAUACACCCCCACAA